ACGGGAGGCAGCAGUGGGGAAUAUUGGACAAUGGGGGAAACCCUGAUCCAGCGACGCCGCGUGAGUGAAGAAGUAUUUCGGUAUGUAAAGCUCUAUCAGCAAGGAAGAAAAUGACGGUACUUGACUAAGAAGCCCCGGCUAACUACGUGCCAGCAGCCGCGGUAAUACGUAGGGGGCAAGCGUUAUCCGGAUUUACUGGGUGUAAAGGGAGCGUAGACGGUGAGGCAAGUCUGAAGUGAAAUGCGGAGGCUCAACCUCCGAACUGCUUUGGAAACUGUCUAACUUGAGUGCAGGAGAGGUAAGUGGAAUUCCUAGUGUAGCGGUGAAAUGCGUAGAUAUUAGGAGGAACACCAGUGGCGAAGGCGGCUUACUGGACUGUAACUGACGUUGAGGCUCGAAAGCGUGGGGAGCAAACAGGAUUAGAUACCCUGGUA
rnacentral:rRNA from 1 species